rnacentral:rRNA from 1 species
ACGUACCUCCUACGGGAGGCAGCAGUGGGGAAUUUUGGACAAUGGGCGAAAGCCUGAUCCAGCAAUGCCGCGUGUGUGAAGAAGGCCUUCGGGUUGUAAAGCACUUUUGUCCGGAAAGAAAUCCUUGGCUCUAAUACAGUCGGGGGAUGACGGUACCGGAAGAAUAAGCACCGGCUAACUACGUGCCAGCAGCCGCGGUAAUACGUAGGGUGCGAGCGUUAAUCGGAAUUACUGGGCGUAAAGCGUGCGCAGGCGGUUUGCUAAGACCGAUGUGAAAUCCCCGGGCUCAACCUGGGAACUGCAUUGGUGACUGGCAGGCUAGAGUAUGGCAGAGGGGGGUAGAAUUCCACGUGUAGCAGUGAAAUGCGUAGAGAUGUGGAGGAAUACCGAUGGCGAAGGCAGCCCCCUGGGCCAAUACUGACGCUCAUGCACGAAAGCGUGGGGAGCAAACAGGAUUAGAAACCCUUGUAGUCCCA